rnacentral:rRNA from 1 species
AGAGUUUGAUCCUGGCUCAGGACGAACGCUGGCGGCACGCUUAACACAUGCAAGUCGAACGAGAGAAGAGGAGCUUGCUUUUCUGAUCUAGUGGCGGACGGGUGAGUAACACGUGAGCAAUCUGCCUUUCAGAGGGGGAUACCGAUUGGAAACGAUCGUUAAUACCGCAUAACAUAAUUGAACCGCAUGAUUUGAUUAUCAAAGAUUUAUCGCUGAAAGAUGAGCUCGCGUCUGAUUAGCUAGUUGGUAAGGUAACGGCUUACCAAGGCGACGAUCAGUAGCCGGACUGAGAGGUUGAUCGGCCACAUUGGGACUGAGACACGGCCCAGACUCCUACGGGAGGCAGCAGUGGGGAAUAUUGCACAAUGGAGGAAACUCUGAUGCAGCGAUGCCGCGUGAGGGAAGAAGGUUUUAGGAUUGUAAACCUCUGUCUUCAGGGACGAAAAAAGACGGUACCUGAGGAGGAAGCUCCGGCUAACUACGUGCCAGCAGCCGCGGUAAUACGUAGGGAGCGAGCGUUGUCCGGAAUUACUGGGUGUAAAGGGAGCGUAGGCGGGAUCGCAAGUCAGAUGUGAAAACUAUGGGCUUAACCCAUAAACUGCAUUUGAAACUGUGGUUCUUGAGUGAAGUAGAGGUAAGCGGAAUUCCUAGUGUAGCGGUGAAAUGCGUAGAUAUUAGGAGGAACAUCAGUGGCGAAGGCGGCUUACUGGGCUUUAACUGACGCUGAGGCUCGAAAGCGUGGGGAGCAAACAGGAUUAGAUACCCUGGUAGUCCACGCCGUAAACGAUGAUUACUAGGUGUGGGGGGACUGACCCCUUCCGUGUCGCAGCAAACGCAAUAAGUAAUCCACCUGGGGAGUACGACCGCAAGGUUGAAACUCAAAGGAAUUGACGGGGGCCCGCACAAGCAGUGGAGUAUGUGGAUUAAUUCGAAGCAACGCGAAGAACCUUACCAGGUCUUGACAUCGUAUGCAUAGCUCAGAGAUGAGUGAAAUCUCUUCGGAGACAUAUGGACAGGUGGUGCAUGGUUGUCGUCAGCUCGUGUCGUGAGAUGUUGGGUUAAGUCCCGCAACGAGCGCAACCCUUACUGUUAGUUGCUACGCAAGAGCACUCUAGCAGGACUGCCGUUGACAAAACGGAGGAAGGUGGGGAUGACGUCAAAUCAUCAUGCCCCUUAUGACCUGGGCCUCACACGUACUACAAUGGCUGUCAACAGAGGGAAGCAAAGCCGCGAGGUGGAGCGAACCCCUAAAAGCAGUCUUAGUUCGGAUUGUGGGCUGCAACCCGCCUACAUGAAGUCGGAAUUGCUAGUAAUCGCAGAUCAGCAUGCUGCGGUGAAUACGUUCCCGGGCCUUGUACACACCGCCCGUCACGCCAUGGGAGUCGGUAACACCCGAAGCCUGUAGUCUAACCGCAAGGAGGACGCAGUCGAAGGUGGGAUUGAUGACUGGGGUGAAGUCGUAGCAAGGUA